AUCCACUGUGGAAUUCGCCCUUAGAGUUUGAUCCUGGCUCAGGACGAACGCUGGCGGCGUGCUUAAUACAUGCAAGUCAACUGAAGCAUUGGUAGUAAUACUGAUGUGGAGGUGGCGCACGGGUGAGUAACGCGUAGGUAAUCUGCCUUUGGGUCUGACACAACCCACCGAAAGGUGAGCUAAUAUCAGAUGAUGCAGCGGCUUGACAUCAAGACAGUUGUUAAAGCUUCGGCGCCCAGAGAUGAGCCUGCGUCUGAUUAGGUAGUUGGCGGGGUAACGGCCCACCAAGCCUGCGAUCAGUAGCUGGUCUGAGAGGAUGAUCAGCCACACUGGAACUGAGACACGGUCCAGACUCCUACGGGAGGCAGCAGUAAGGAAUAUUGCUCAAUGGCCGAAAGGCUGAAGCAGCAACGCCGCGUGAAGGAUGAAGGCCUUUUGGUUGUAAACUUCUGUAGAGAAAGACAAAACCCCCACUCUGUGGGGAUUGAUGGUAUUUCUAAAGUAAGCCCCGGCUAACUACGUGCCAGCA
rnacentral:rRNA from 1 species